UACGAAGGGGGCUAGCGUUGCUCGGAAUGACUGGGCGUAAAGGGCGCGUAGGCGGUUCGUACAGUCAGACGUGAAAUUCCCGGGCUCAACCUGGGGGCUGCGUUUGAUACGUACGGGCUUGAGUUCGGAAGAGGGUCGUGGAAUUCCCAGUGUAGAGGUGAAAUUCGUAGAUAUUGGGAAGAACACCGGUGGCGAAGGCGGCGACCUGGUCCGAUGACUGACGCUGAGGCGCGAAAGCGUGGGGGAGCAAACAGG
rnacentral:rRNA from 1 species